UUGACUGAAAGCAAAGCCCAAAGAUAUGGGGCAUCUAAAACGGAAGACGGCACCAGGGGAUUACCGAGGAAUCUGACUGGCCUGUGUUGCGGGCUGCCUCAACACCAAGUGAGCGGCCAGGGACGGUCGUUUCAGCAAAGAGCAAGAAAAAAGAACGUGAGUCAGUGCAAAACAUUAUCAUUAGACUUAUAAAUAGAUUUGAGCCACUUUGACAAGACCCUGGACAAGAAUGCUCAUCCUCCCCCAUCACUGAAAGGUAUGAAAUUAAAUCAUCCCCCCAAAAAAUUGGGACCACAAACAUAAAUAGUUGGUGAUUGAGCCAACAAGGAUGUGAAAUGGUUUUGAAGUGAGAAGAACACCAAAGUACUGUGUUUUAUGAGUGACACGUUGUCUGAUAUCUCUCAAAAAAUCCUCGGGAUCACUGAUCAGCACCCAACUGUGAAAUCUGUCAUUAUACACACAGGGACACUGGAUGUUCUCAAGCAACAAUCAGAGAAUAACUCGGACCCCUACGGAGAUCAGGCAUUUUUCAUCCCUAUUCUUCCAAAACUUCAGACAACCUCUAUCUCUAUUAGGAAAAGGCUGGAGAUGGUGAGAGAGACACAUCCCGCAUUCUCCGGGAGCAAAAAUUCUUUGUCAGGAGGGAGUGCCACACCGGCAAAAUGGAAGAGAGAGCGAUGGGCCGGACUUGACGUCACAACAAUGAACUGUGGCAUUCAUUGCUACUUGAGACGACAUCACGUGUUUGCGUUCUUUGUGACUUUCUGUACUGCAAUAAAAAUGUUAGUUUAUUGUUAUUGUUUAACUAGACAUUUGUGUUGUUGUAAUUUAUGUCUCAAGUAUGCAAUGUAUCAAUGCUGUACUGUUGAUUAAACAUUCUGGUGCCCACACAGCAGCUCCAGCACAACGGAAGUGAUGUAAGAGCGGCAUGUUGGAAGAUACGCCAUUGAGAUGUGACGUAAGGCAAAGGUAGGCAAAGUGGCGAAGGGUAAACAAGAGGCAUAUGAUUACAUGUACACCAGGUUGGACAUAAAAGAAGGAGAAAAGGAUCUCUACAGGUUGGCAGGGCAGAGGGACAGAGAUGGGAAGGAUGUACAGCUGGUAACGGUGAUUAAGGAUAAAGAUGGAAAUGUGUUGACUGGUGCCAGUAGUGUGCUAAAUAGAUGGAAAGAAUACUUUGAGAAGUUGAUGACUGAAGAAAAUGAAAAAGAAGGAAGAGUAGAAGAGGCAAGUGUGAAGGAUCAGGAUGUGGCAAUGACUAGGAAGGGCGACGUUAGGAAGCCACUGAACAAAAUGACAAAUGGAAAGACAGUUGGUCCUGAUGACAUACCAGUGUGAAAGACCAGGAAGUGGCAAUGAUUAGCCAGGAGGAAGUUUGACAGACACUACAGAGGAUGAAAAAUGGAAAUGCAGUUGGUCCUGAUGGUAUGGUAUGGA